rnacentral:rRNA from 1 species
UACGUAGGGUGCGAGCGUUAAUCGGAAUUACUGGGCGUAAAGCGUGCGCAGGCGGUUUUGUAAGCCAGAUGUGAAAUCCCCGGGCUUAACCUGGGAAUGGCAUUUGGGACUGCAAGGCUUGAGUGCGGCAGAGGAGACUGGAAUUCCUGGUGUAGCAGUGAAAUGCGUAGAUAUCAGGAGGAACACCGAUGGCGAAGGCAGGUCUCUGGGCUGACACUGACGCUCAUGCACGAAAACGUGGGAGC